CCAAGUUCAUUCGCGAUACAAGACCUACUCACAUACCAUCGCUCAUUCCACCCCC
rnacentral:ribozyme from 1 species